AUUGAACGCUGGCGGCAGGCCUAACACAUGCAAGUCGAGCGGAAACGAGUUAACUGACCCUUCGGGUGACGUUAACGGCGUCGAGCGGCGGACGGGUGAGUAAUGCCUGGGAAAUUGCCCUGAUGUGGGGGAUAACCAUUGGAAACGAUGGCUAAUACCGCAUAAUAGCUUCGGCUCAAAGAGGGGGACCUUCGGGCCUCUCGCGUCAGGAUAUGCCCAGGUGGGAUUAGCUAGUUGGUGAGGUAAUGGCUCACCAAGGCGACGAUCCCUAGCUGGUCUGAGAGGAUGAUCAGCCACACUGGAACUGAGACACGGUCCAGACUCCUACGGGAGGCAGCAGUGGGGAAUAUUGCACAAUGGGCGCAAGCCUGAUGCAGCCAUGCCGCGUGUGUGAAGAAGGCCUUCGGGUUGUAAAGCACUUUCAGCAGUGAGGAAGGCAGGUACGUUAAUAGCGUAUUCGUUUGACGUUAGCUGCAGAAGAAGCACCGGCUAACUCCGUGCCAGCAGCCGCGGUAAUACGGAGGGUGCGAGCGUUAAUCGGAAUUACUGGGCGUAAAGCGCAUGCAGGUGGUUCGUUAAGUCAGAUGUGAAAGCCCGGGGCUCAACCUCGGAACUGCAUUUGAAACUGG
rnacentral:rRNA from 1 species